rnacentral:rRNA from 1 species
CAGCAGCCACGGUAAUACGUAGGGUGCAAGCGUUGUCCGGAAUUAUUGGGCGUAAAGAGCUCGUAGGCGGUUUGUCGCGUCUGCUGUGAAAACGCGAGGCUCAACCUCGCGCCUGCAGUGGGUACGGGCAGACUAGAGUGCGGUAGGGGAGAUUGGAAUUCCUGGUGUAGCGGUGGAAUGCGCAGAUAUCAGGAGGAACACCGAUGGCGAAGGCAGAUCUCUGGGCCGUAACUGACGCUGAGGAGCGAAAGCGUGGGGAGCGAACAGGAUUAGAUACCCCCGUAGUCCCUGUCUCUUAUAC